UUUGGGGGUCGUUAACUUUAACGGUCAACGGUUAAAAUUAAUGGUUAAAGGUCCUUUUCAUGCAUUUUAUAAAUUUUUAAUGAUUUUUUUAUAAAAUUUUACAAUUUUUUAUAAUUUUUUAUGAUUUUUAUAAAUUUAUUUUCUAAUUUUUAAUAAAUUUUAUAUAUUUUCUAUUAAAAUUUAAUUUUUUAUAACUUUUAUUGAUUUUUGUUUUUUAUAAUUUUUUUGCCACAUGUCACACCGUGGUUGACACGGGUGGCUUUAAUUGAAAAAAUUAGGAGUAGUUAAAUUUAACGGUUAAUUGUUAAAGUUAAUGGUCAAAGGG
rnacentral:pre_miRNA from 1 species